GACGAACGCUGGCGGCGUGCUUAACACAUGCAAGUCGAACGGAAAGGCCCUGCUUUUGUGGGGUGCUCGAGUGGCGAACGGGUGAGUAACACGUGAGUAACCUGCCCUUGACUUUGGGAUAACUUCAGGAAACUGGGGCUAAUACCGGAUAGGAGCUCCUGCUGCAUGGUGGGGGUUGGAAAGUUUCGGCGGUUGGGGAUGGACUCGCGGCUUAUCAGCCUGUUGGUGGGGUAGUGGCUUACCAAGGCUUUGACGGGUAGCCGGCCUGAGAGGGUGACCGGCCACAUUGGGACUGAGAUACGGCCCAGACUCCUACGGGAGGCAGCAGUGGGGAAUAUUGCACAAUGGGCGCAAGCCUGAUGCAGCAACGCCGCGUGCGGGAUGACGGCCUUCGGGUUGUAAACCGCUUUCGCCUGUGACGAAGCGUGAGUGACGGUAAUGGGUAAAGAAGCACCGGCUAACUACGUG
rnacentral:rRNA from 1 species